UACGGAGGGGACUAGCGUUGUUCGGAAUUACUGGGCGUAAAGCGCACGUAGGCGGCUCUUUAAGUCGGGGGUGAAAUCCUGGAGCUCAACUCCAGAACUGCCUUCGAUACUGAAGAGCUCGAGUCCGGGAGAGGUGAGUGGAACUGCGAGUGUAGAGGUGAAAUUCGUAGAUAUUCGCAAGAACACCAGUGGCGAAGGCGGCUCACUGGCCCGGUACUGACGCUGAGGUGCGAAAGCGUGGGGAGCAAACAGG
rnacentral:rRNA from 1 species